rnacentral:rRNA from 1 species
AUUGAACGCUGGCGGCAUGCCUUACACAUGCAAGUCGAACGGUAACGGGCCUUCGGGUGCCGACGAGUGGCGAACGGGUGAGUAAUACAUCGGAACGUGCCCGAUCGUGGGGGAUAACGAGGCGAAAGCUUUGCUAAUACCGCAUACGAUCUACGGAUGAAAGCAGGGGACCGCGAGGCCUUGCGCGGACGGAGCGGCCGAUGGCAGAUUAGGUAGUCGGUGGGAUAAAAGCUUACCAAGCCGACGAUCUGUAGCUGGUCUGAGAGGAUGAUCAGCCACACUGGGACUGAGACACGGCCCAGACUCCUACGGGAGGCAGCAGUGGGGAAUUUUGGACAAUGGGCGCAAGCCUGAUCCAGCCAUGCCGCGUGCAGGAUGAAGGCCUUCGGGUUGUAAACUGCUUUUGUACGGAACGAAAAGCCUUCUUUUAAUACAGGAGGGUCAUGACGGUACCGUAAGAAUAAGCACCGGCUAACUACGUG